GACGAACGCUGGCGGCGCGCUUAACACAUGCAAGUCGAGCGAUGAAACGUUAACAGAACCCUUCGGGGCGAAGAGAAAGUGGAGUAGCGGCGGACGGGUGAGUAACACGUGAGUAACCGGCCUUAGACAUUGGGAUAGCCUCGGGAAACCGGGAUUAAUACCAAAUAAAAUCAUAAUGACACAUGUCAUAACGAUCAAAACUCCGGUGGUCUAAGAUGGACUCGCGUCCCAUUAGCUAGUUGGUAGAGUAAAAGCCUACCAAGGCGACGAUGGGUAGCCGGCCUGAGAGGGUGAGCGGCCACAUUGGAACUGAGCAACGGUCCAAACUCCUACGCGAGGCAGCAGUGGGGAAUAUUGCACAAUGGCGGGAACUCUGAUGCAGCGCCGCCGCGUGAACGAAGAAGGCUUUCGAGUCGUAAAGUUCUUUUAUAUGGGCAGAUAAUGACGGUACCAUAAGAAAAAGCCCCGGCUAACUACGUG
rnacentral:rRNA from 1 species